GGACGAACGCUGGCGGCGUGCCUAAUACAUGCAAGUCGAGCGAAUCUGAUGGGAGCUUGCUCCUUGAUGAUUAGCGGCGGACGGGUGAGUAACACGUGGGUAACCUGCCUGUAAGACUGGGAUAACUCCGGGAAACCGGGGCUAAUACCGGAUAACUUUUUUCUUCGCAUGAGGGAGAAUUGAAAGAUGGCUUCGGCUAUCACUUACAGAUGGACCCGCGGCGCAUUAGCUAGUUGGUGAGGUAACGGCUCACCAAGGCGACGAUGCGUAGCCGACUUGAGAGGGUGAUCGGCCACACUGGGACUGAGACACGGCCCAGACUCCUACGGGAGGCAGCAGUAGGGAAUCUUCCGCAAUGGACGAAAGUCUGACGGAGCAACGCCGCGUGAGUGAUGAAGGUUUUCGGAUCGUAAAACUCUGUUGUUAGGGAAGAACAAGUAUCGUUCGAAUAGGGCGGUACCUUGACGGUACCUAACCAGAAAGCCACGGCUAACUACGUG
rnacentral:rRNA from 1 species